CGGGACGGGGUGAGUAAUGUCUGGGAAACUGCCUGAUGGAGGGGGAUAACUACUGGAAACGGUAGCUAAUACCGCAUAACGUCGCAAGACCAAGAGGGGGACCUUCGGGCCUCUUGCCAUCGGAUGUGCCCAGAUGGGAUUAGCUAGUAGGUGGGGUAACGGCUCACCUAGGCGACGAUCCCUAGCUGGUCUGAGAGGAUGACCAGCCACACUGGAACUGAGACACGGUCCAG
rnacentral:rRNA from 1 species